UUGUUCCGGUUUUGGUUCUUGUGUAGGUCGACAUCGAUUCGUUCCAAAUUUACACUCUCGGGGCACAAUAGAACAAUAUAAUUAGCUUUUACUCUUUGUUCGAUUAAAUGAGAAAAAGUACUCGUUUCAAAGUUAUACUGUUAGGGCGCAACUGAGUAGUCUUUUUUGUUCCGGUUAUUGUUCUUUUAAAGGUUGACAUCAAUUCGUUGCAUAUUUACACUCUCGGGGUAUAAUAGAACAAUAUAAUUAGCUUUUGCUCUUUGUUCGAUUGAAUGUUAAAAAGUACUCGUCGCAAAGUUAUACUGUUAGGGCGCAACUGAGUAGUCUACUUUUGUUCCGGUUUAGGUUCUUUUGAAGGUUGACAUCCAUUCGUUCCAUAUUUACACUCUCGCGGUAUAAUAGAACAAUAUAAUUAGCUUUACUCUUUAUUCGAUUGAAUGAGAAAAAGUACUCGUCGCAAAGUUAUAUUGUUAGGGCGGAACUGAUUAGUCUUUUUUUGUUCCGGUUUUGGUUCUUGUGAAGGUUGACAUCGAUUCGUUCCAAAUUUACACUCUCCGGACACAAUAGAACAAUAUAAUUUGCUUUUACUCUCUGUUCGAUUAAAUGAGAAAUAGUACUCGUUGCAAAGUUAUGCUGUUAGGGCGCAUCUGAGUAGUCUACUUUUGUUCCAGUUUUGGUGUUUUUGAAGGUUGACAUCCAUUCGUACCAUAUUUACACUCUCGCGGUAUAAUAGAACAAUAUAAUUAGAUUUUACUCUUUGUUCGAUUGAAUAAGAAAAAGUACUCGUUCCAAAGUUAUACUGUUUGGGCGCAACUGAGUAGUCUAUUUUUGUUCCGGUUUUGGUUCUUAUGAAUGUUGACAUCGAUUCCAAAUUUACACUCUCGGGGCACAAUAGAACAAUAUAAUUAGCUUUAACUCUUUAUUGGAUUAAAUGAGAAAAAGUACUCGUUGCAAUGUUAUACUGUUAGGGCGCAACUGGGUAGUUUUUUUUGUUCCGGUUUUUGUUCUUUUAAAGGUUGACAUCAAUUCGUUCCAUAUUUACACUCUCGGGGUAUAAUAGAACAAUAUAAUUCGCUUUUACUCUUUGUUCGAUUGAAUGAUAAAAAGUACUCGUUACAAAGAUAUACAGUUAGGGCGUAACUGAGUAGUCUACUUUUGUUCCGGUUUAGGUUCUUUUGAAGGUUGACAUCCAUUCGUUCCAUAUUUACACUCUCGCGGUAUAAUAGAACAAUAUAAUUAUAUUUUACUCUUUGUUCGAUUGAAUGAGAAAAAGUACUCUUUGCAAAGUUAUACUGUUAGGGCACAAUUGAGUAGUCUAUUUUUGUUCCGGUUUUGGUUCUUGUGAAGGUUGACAUCGAUUCGUUCCAAAUUUACACUCUCGGGGCAUAAUAGAACAAUAUAAUUAGCUUUCGCUCUUUGUUCGAUUGAAUGAGAAAAAGUACUCGUCGCAAAGCUAUAUUGUUAGGGCGGAACUGAGUAGUCAUUUUUUGUUCCGGUUUUGGUUCUUGUGAAGGUUGACAUCGAUUUGUUCCAUAUUUACACUCUCGCGGUAUAAUAGAAUAAUAUAAUUAGCUUUUACUCUUUGUUCGAUUGAAUGUGAAAAUGUAUUCGUUGCAAAGUUAUACUGUUAGGGCGCAACUGAGUAGUCUAUUUUUGUUCCGGUUUUGGUUCUUGUGAAGGUUGACAUCGAUUCGUUCCAAAUUUACACUCUCAGGACAAAAUAGAACAAUAUAAUUAGAUUUUACUCUUUGUUCGAUUAAAUGAGAAAUAGUACUCGUUGCAAAGUUAUGCUGUUAGAGCGCAUCUGAGUAGUCUAUUUUUGUUACUGUUUUGGUUCUUUUAUAGGUUGACGUCAAUUCGUUCCAUAUUUACACUCUCGGGGUAUAAUAGAACAAUAUAAUUAGCUUUUACCCUUUGUUCGAUUGAAUGAAAAAAAGUACUCGUUGCAAAGUUAUACUGUUAGGGCGCAACUGAGUAGUCUAUUUUUGUUCCGGUUUUCGUUCUUGUGAAUGUUGAUAUCGAUUCGUUCCAAAUUUACACUCUCGGGGCACAAUAGAACAAUAUAAUUAGCUUUAACUCUUUAUUCGAUUAAAUGAGAAAAAGUACUCGUUGCAAAGUUAUACUGUUAGGGCGCAACUGAGUAGUCUUUUUUUGUUCCGGUUUUGGUUCUUUUAAAGUUUGACAUCAAUUCGUUCCAUAUUUACACUCUCGGUGUAUAAUAGAACAAUAUAAUUAGCUUUUACUCUUUGUUCGAUUGAAUGAGAAAAAGUACUCGUCGCAAAGUUAUAUUGUUAGGGCGAAACUGAGUAGUGUUUUUUUGUUCCGGUUUUGAUUCUUGUGAAG
rnacentral:lncRNA from 1 species